AGCGGCGGACGGGUGAGUAACACGUGGGUAACCUGCCUUGUAGAGGGGGAUAGCCUUCCGAAAGGAGGAUUAAUACCGCAUAAGAUUGUAGUUUCGCAUGAAACAGCAAUUAAAGGAGCAAUCCGCUACAAGAUGGACCCGCGGCGCAUUAGCUAGUUGGUGAGGUAACGGCUCACCAAGGCGACGAUGCGUAGCCGACCUGAGAGGGUGAUCGGCCACAUUGGGACUGAGACACGGCCCAGACUCCUACGGGAGGCAGCAGUAGGGAAUCUUCCACAAUGGACGAAAGUCUGAUGGAGCAACGCCGCGUGAGUGAAGAAGGUUUUCGGAUCGUAAAACUCUGUUGUUGGAGAAGAAUGUAUCUGAUAGUAACUGAUCAGGUAGUGACGGUAUCCAACCAGAAAGCCACGGCUAACUACGUGCCAGCAGCCGCGGUAAUACGUAGGUGGCAAGCGUUGUUCGGAUUUAUUGGGCGUAAAGCGAGCGCAGGCGGUUUCUUAAGUCUGAUGUGAAAGCCUUCGGCUCAACCGAAGAAGUGCAUCGGAAACUGGGAAACUUGAGUGCAGAAGAGGACAGUGGAACUCCAUGUGUAGCGGUGAAAUGCGUAGAUAUAUGGAAGAACACCAGUGGCGAAGGCGGCUGUCUGGUCUGUAACUGACGCUGAGGCUCGAAAGCAUGGGUAGCAAACAGGAUUAGAUACCCUGGUAGUCCACGCUGUAAACGAUGAAUACUAGGUGUGGGAGGACUGACCCCUUCCGUGCCGCAGUUAACACAAUAAGUAUUCCACCUGGGGAGUACGACCGCAAGGUUGAAACUCAAAGGAAUUGACGGGGGCCCGCACAAGCAGUGGAUUAUGUGGUUUAAUUCGACGCAACGCGAAGAACCUUACCAGGAUUUGACAUCCUACUAACGAAGCAGAGAUGCAUUAGGUGCCCUUCGGGGAAAGUAGAGACAGGUGGUGCAUGGUUGUCGUCAGCUCGUGUCGUGAGAUGUUGGGUUAAGUCCCGCAACGAGCGCAACCCCUAUUGUUAGUUGCUACGCAAGAGCACUCUAGCGAGACUGCCGUUGACAAAACGGAGGAAGGCGGGGACGACGUCAAAUCAUCAUGCCCCUUAUGUCCUGGGCUACACACGUAAUACAAUGGUGGUUAACAGAGGGAAGCAAGACUGCGAAGUGGAGCAAAUCCCUAAAAGCCAUCUCAGUUCGGAUUGCAGGCUGCAACUCGCCUGCAUGAAGCUGGAAUUGCUAGUAAUCGCGGAUCGGCAUGCCGCGGUGAAUACGUUCCCGGGCCUUGCACUCACCGCCCGUCA
rnacentral:rRNA from 1 species